AUACGUAGGGGACAAGCGUUGUCCGGAAUGACUGGGCGUAAAGGGCGCGUAGGCGGUCUAUUAAGUCUGAUGUGAAAGGUACCGGCUCAACCGGUGAAGUGCAUUGGAAACUGGCAGACUUGAGUCUUGGAGAGGCAAGUGGAAUUCCUAGUGUAGCGGUGAAAUGCGUAGAUAUUAGGAGGGACACCAGUGGCGGAGGCGGGUUGCGGGACAAAGACUACCGCUGAGGUGCGAAAGCGGGGGGAGCGGGCAUGAAUAGAUACCCGGGUAGUCCUCGCCGUGAACGAUAAUAGCUGGGGGUUGGGGAAACUCAGGGCCGCAGUGAACACAAGAUGCGUUCCGCCUGGGGAGUCCGACCGCAAGGUGGAAACUCACAGGAAUUGACGGGG
rnacentral:rRNA from 1 species